rnacentral:lncRNA from 1 species
AGUUAUCCUGCCAGCGAGGAUUGAUGAAAGAGCUUUCGGUCAGAGAGGGUUAACUCACAGCUUGUCCUUAUCCGUGGCACGGUAUUGACACCUUUCCAACUGGGGUUACAGAUUGGACACCAAAUUAGUUAGGGAAGUGGCAUGUCGGCUAGAUGAUUACCUCCCACAGUUUCAGUUCCAGUCUCAGUCUCAGAAUAGAACUCAGUUCAGUUCUACAGAUUCAGGACUAUCAGACAUAGUCACUCCGCUCAGUACGAAACUCAGUAUGGUUCUACAGUACUCAGAACUAUUAGAUACAAUCAUUUAAAUAAUUAGUAAUAUAGUAUUCGUAAACUCAGAUAUUGAUUAACAGUAUUCCGAUUCAGUACUCAAUAUGUAUUAUGCAUAUACUCUUACUCAGUCAUACUCAUGUUAUUCAGUUAAUAUUGUGCAUGCAUAUGAACCCAUGAAUAUCAGCCUACCUUACUGAGCAUACCAGUAUAUUCAAAGUAUUGACACAUGCUUUUCUUUGCGUUGUGACGUCUUAUAUCAUAGGUUCAAAAGCACGGGCUCCAGAGCACCCUUAGCAGUUCAGAUUCUCAGCUUUCAGAGUAGUGAUGAGUCCUCAUAGUUCAAGGACAUACUUAUUAUUUACAGUACUUCAAUUUUAUUUCAAUAGAUGGAGUUAUUUGGGGGUUUUUCCCAUCAACUCCACAAUUCAGACAGUUAGACGUUUUUUCAGACUAGAGUAUUUUCAGACAGUUGUUCAAUUUUUCUAUACUUAAAUUCAGUUUUGGUAUUUUGAUACCGCAUUCAGAUUUAUUUACAGAUUUGAACCUUUAUUGUAGCGGGGAUUAUGAGCACCAUAUAGCGUCCAGGGUACAGACUCGGGGCAUUACAAAAAGGAAAUUUGGAUUAAUUGAUAUUUUUCUUUCCUUCUAUUUAUUUUGACUGAUUAUAUUAGUAAGUGUGAUCUUUAUAUUUAAG